GAUGAACGCUAGCGGCAGGCUUAAUACAUGCAAGUCGAGGGGCAGCAGGUUUGUAGCAAUACAGAUGCUGGCGACCGGCAAACGGGUGCGGAACACGUACACAACCUUCCUUUAAGUGGGGAAUAGCCCAGAGAAAUUUGGAUUAAUACCCCGUAACAUUAUGAUGUGGCAUCACAUUAUAAUUAUAGCUCCGGCGCUUAAUGAUGGGUGUGCGGCUGAUAGGUAGUUGGCGGGGUAACGGCCCACCAAGCCUGCGAUCAGUAACUGGUGUGAGAGCACGACCAGUCACACGGGCACUGAGACACGGGCCCGACUCCUACGGGAGGCAGCAGUGGGGAAUCUUGCGCUAAUGCGCGAAAGCGUGACGCAGCGACGCCGCGUGGGGGA
rnacentral:rRNA from 1 species